rnacentral:rRNA from 1 species
AAAGUUGAAAAGAACUUUGAAGAGAGAGUUCAAGAGUACGUGAAACCGUUCAGGGGUAAACCUGAGAAACCCAAAAGAUCGAAUGGGGAGAUUCAUCGUCAGCUCAUUUUGUAUAUGUAUAAGUUAUGAUGCGGGUUACUACUUGUAGUAUUGCCUGCACAUUCUUGUAUAUUUUGUUGCAAGAUGUUGUCGGCGUGCACUUCUUCCCUAGUAGGACGUCGCGACCCGUUGGGUGUCGGUCUACGGCCCAAGUGAUAGCCUUUAAUGUAAUUUAAAAAUCAUUGAAGAUCCUUGGUGUUUCCUGACCGGCUACUUGGCGGUAUUCGUACGGUAUUUAGCCGCUAAUUUAUUAGCGUCCGUGUCCGUCACAAGCGAGGCCAAUUUACUGAUAGUACGGACCUAGUGCCGUCGUUAGUAUUGGCCAGCUGUUGGUUGUACGUGAUUCUGGGACUGGCUAAAAUUAAUUACCGGUCGGCGAUGCUACUGCUUUGGGUACUUUCAGGACCCGUCUUGAAACACGGACCAAGGAGUCUAACAUGUGCGCAAGUCAUUGGGAUUUUUUUAAAAUUAAACCUAAAGGCGUAAUGAAAGUAAAGGUUGUCCUUGCGUCAACCGAGGGAGGAUGAGUUGUGUUAUGAUACAGCUCCGCACUCCCGGGGCGUCUCAUUCUUAUUACAAGAAGAGGCGCACCUAGAGCGUACACGUU